AACUUGCGGUCUGUCUCUCUCAAAAAUAAACGUUUAAAAAAAUUUUUAAGAAAGAAGAAAGAGGUGACCAAUCCUUUCCAAAUAUAUCAGAUUUAAUCUGUUCUGUCUUCACUGCUACUAAGUUUGCCCAGUGUCUACCUCUGAAUUGGUGAUUUAGUUUUCUGUCCAGCAAAAUGAAAAUCUAAAGAUUAGACACAAAAAGGCCUUUAUCAUUAGAAAAAUAUUGAAAAUUUUUUUAGAAAUAUACCAUUACCUAUCCUGGUGGGUAGACAGCACAGCAUCUUUAACAAGAGAAGAUGGAAAUACCUGAGUAAAUUAGGCAACUUGUGCAAGCCUAUUUCAUAGAUUUUUUUUGUCUUAUUUUUUAAAUAAAAUUUGAGGUCUAAUCUGUUGGCCUCCUACCAUGCAAAGAGAGGAUUUUCUCUUUUGCAUUCCUCAAUCUCACACAUACACAAAACCACACGCGUUCCUUUUCUCAAUUAUAGCACAAUUUUUAGUUACAUCAAAAGUGAUAUAACUUCACGUGAUUACCAGACAGCUGCAGAAGUUGCUGUGGUGAGACACCUUCUUCAGGAUGGAAGGAUUUAGCCCCCAGCUGCUGGAAGUGCUAUUCGCAGACACCUUUCCACUGGCAGCCUGCUUUGGAAGUGGUUCAACUUCUGAGAGUUGCCUUACGACCCCUUCCCUGAGCAGCUGUCGUUCAAUGACUGUUCAACAUGGUGGCAAAAGGCCCUCCUUGCAGCUUGGGACAAUUCUCAAGGGCCAGCCCAGCUUUAGAGCUCCCUAUGGGGUUUUUGUCACGGCCAGAUUCUCCCUCUGUGCAAUCCUGCUUCCUCUCUUUUCUUCCUUCCCACAGGUAUGGAUCCCAAAAGUUCUCCCCCAUAAGGCUUCUGCCUGCCAAUCUCUGUUUCAGGGUCGCCUUCCGAGGAACCAAACCUGCCACAGUUGAUACCAGAAAUGGUCUGAGAAAGCAGAUGCCAAGAGGAGAUUCUGGAGAGGGGUCACCUGCCAUCUGGUUGGCAGAGCCCCAUUGUUGGUGGGAGGGGGGGCCCACACAGCACAAGGUAACAAUGCAGCUGUUCACCAUUCACUGGUGGUGGCAAAUGUACCAGCUUGUGUGCUGUAUCGGGCAUUUGAGCAACAUGGCAAAAACAGCAACUAAAAGGACAAUAAAGGUGGCCAUUACUAAACUCAGAUCAUGCUUUGGAGAAAGAUAAUGAGAGAGAGUGACUGACGGACUUUAAAAAGUGUGAGAGCGUGAAAGCAAAAAGGCCUCCUUGGUAGCAUAUAAAGAAUCUCUCUUCUGCAGCAGAGAAAACCAAGGACCAAGCUCAGGAUUUAAUUACAGGGUAGCAGAUCUCCAAAACAGUUAAGUUCUCAGAUUCGGCAGGUGUGCUAUGCCAAGGUCAGGGACCUGGUUGAGAAAGGACAGUAGGAUGGGGACAUCUGCUUUGAAAAAGCUACAGAACUGGUCCAUCCCUCCCCAUCACGGGCGAGUACUCCCUCUUCUUGAAGACAACACAAGAAGACCAUUCCCGUAAGAAACAGCAUGCACCCCAAUGUCAGAUCUGCCCCAAUGCUUUUAGCUGGCCACUAGGCCAAUAACCAGCUUGAAGUCAAAACAUAACUCAGCUUGAGGAGGAAAGCAGCUACACACCAAAGGAGUGGCGGGACUGAGCCAACAGGAACCGGCAGGAGCUAGGAGAAAAUCCGUGGGACAGCACUCAGGGGGUGUUGAAUCAAAGCAGGCAAUACAUUACAUUGGAUAAGAAGUGUUUAUUUGGAGUACUGUCCUGGAAUAUAGGAUUCAACACUCUGACAAGAACGCCACGAGAUGGUGUAGGCAUGAUGACAGGAUGGUCCCAACAAGCAAGGAGAAAGCAACGGCCCCAUUAAGUGAGGUUGAAAUGCCAGCAUUGCCCUGCAGAUGGUGGAAGAGGGGGUAAAAGGCCUCAGAAAAGUGGGCAUUCUAGGGUGGACAUACUAUAUGAAGCCAAAUGACUGUGCUCCAUGGGAAGAUCCAGGGGAUACAUGAUUGACCAAGGCAAUAAGGCAUGUGCUAGGGAGCUCCAAGAGUUCAGUGGUAGCUCUCCUCUGGACAUCAGGGAUUAAGCUCUGUCUUUCCACGCCUGGGCUCAGUGACAGCAAUGAGAAUGAUAGGACAACUCACCCCUUUCCUCCAUCACUCCCCCAACUUCCCAUCCCCUGCAAGAGGCCAGUUGGUAGGACUUGGCCAUCAGUCAGAUGGAUGUAAUUAUUGUAAUGAAUGGUAGGUUUGCAGUGGCCUGACCUACACAGAGUUAUGGAGAUGGUUAAUAAAUGUAGUGUUCCUAGAGGCAAAGACCUGAGUAGGUAAAAAACAAAAACAAAAAAGCUACUAGGUAACCUCACAAACAAAAGCUAUUAGUUAACUUUACAAACAAAAGAAAUCAAGGAUGGAGGGUGAAGGCAUUUAUCCCAGUCAAGCCAGGAUGCCCUGCCCAUCUUCCAGGACUGAGCCAGUUUUGGGACCCAGAACCCAUCAAUUGAAAGAGGCUAGGUGGCCAGGAAGACACAAAUAUUCACAGUAAUGAUUAACUGGUCCUUCCCCAGAGGGGUCCAUGGCCAUUUACUUGGGUAAGUGUCCACUGGGGAAAGGGGACGAUCCAAACAUCACGAAGACUGUUGGACACAGGGUCCAGGUUGACAUUGAUACCCAGAGCCCUGGAAUAUCAUCAUGGUACCCUGUUACAGUAGGGCCAGGGCCAGUGUCACAGACAUGUGUGUGACCUGUGCAGUCACACAGGAUUUUACAUUUAAAAAGUUCUAACUGUGGGGAAAACAAAUAACCCAACAGGUUCUAAUUGUGAUUGCUUUAAUUCUUGGUUUAAUGCCUGGGUGGUACCCUUUUAAAAUUAUUAAUAAUUUUUUGAACAAGGGGUCUUUUCUUUCAGUUUGUGCUGGGUUGGCCUGUGUGGGGAUAUAGGAGGGUCCUGAUACUAAAUAAAGUUCUGGCUCCAGUGUGGCUUACAGUGUAUCUUUUGAACCUGUAGACCCACCUGUAGUAUUUUCCUGGUCUCCCAAUAUACACUUGGGAUAGAUAUUCCCAGGAAUUGACACAAUCCCACACCGCCUCUUUGGUCUGUGGGGUAAGAGCUAUGAGCUAUCCUAGUGAAGAUGGCCAAAUGGAAGGAGCUCUGAAUGUGCCACUCUGCCCCCCCCCACACACACACACAACCACACACACACACACACAGCCAAGAUAGUAAAUCAAAAACGAUAUCGCAUCACAGGGGGUCUAGCAGAAAUUAGUGCCACUCUGAAAAACUUAAAAGAAUGCAGGGGUAGUAAGUGGACCUCACAAUAUUUCCAUUUAAUUCACCAGUCUGUCUCUUGCAAAAAAAUAGAAACAUAAUUUUAAGGGAAACAGUGGACAAUGUAAACAAGAAGUGCCCCUAAUUACAGCUACUGCACCAGAUGUAGUAUCUUUGCUAGACCCCAUUUGAAUGUCGCCAACUGUCCAAACAAUCUCUCUUUUUCUUUUAGGGCCUAGACUCCCCAUGGAACCAUAUACUGAAUUUAUAUGACCAUCUAAAACACGCCUGCAUCAAGUCUUUCUUGCAUCAAGAGGACAGGCCUUCCAUUUUGCAGGAUGAUCGUCACCCUGGUUUUUCAUCAGAAGAAUGCUCCAGUCUCCUACCUGGAAAAUACAUACCUGGACGCCAGUGUUCUUUGAACUGAGUUGAGAAAGGAGCUAGAAUUGCACUGGCUUUAUUAGGUUUACACACAAUACCCACAUUCAGUAUGGAACCUUCAUCUUCAGCUGUGCCUGAUGUCCCAAGCCUGGAGUCUCCCCAGACUCAGCCUCUUCAAAGAAGGAAUCUCUAGCAGAAAGGAUAUAGAGUGGCUAAUCUACCUCUUACACAGAUUGUCAGCCAAUCCUGUUUUCUGCCUGCUGCCGCUAGACCCCCAAGUCUUUUGGAGGUUCUCUGGCCAGAAUGAGCCUGCUUUUGGACCCUCCCUAGAGACACUUUUACAUUUUUCUCACUCUCUAAGUCAGUGGUUCUCAACAGUGGCAAUUUUGUCCCUGGGGGCAUUUGACAAUAAGUAGAAACAUUUUUGGUUUUCACAACUGGGGAGGGGCUAUUACUAGAAUCUAGUGGAUAGAGGCCAGGAGUGCUGCUAAAUAUCCUACAACGCACAGGACAGCCCCCCACAACAAAAUAUUAGUUGGCCCCAAAGGUCAACGGUACUGAGGCUGAAAAACCCUGUCCUAAAUCGUUUAGUACAAAUGCUGCCAGCUUCUAGUUUUUGACGCUACUUCAUUUUUUCGUUCAUUCUUUUUGUUUUUGUGGUUUUUAUGUUUUUAUGAUUUUUAUGUGGAGUUGUUUCCAGCAGGAGUGAUAAACAUAAUUGCUUAAUUGAAACAUUUAACCAGAAAUCACUUGGUGGAACUUGAAUUUAUAUUUGUUGAAAAUAUUUCAAUUUCUGUCUCAAGUGUUGACAUAGAUGAAUGUUUUUGAAGCUUUGAAUGUUUUUGAAGUGUUAGGUAGAAUGUGUCAACCAAAGAGUGAAACAGAAUGUGCAUGGAUUCAGCUAGGAAUGGACUUUGGGUCUCAUGGAACAUUCCAUACAGUUGUUCUGAAGACGAGCCCAGAAAGCCAGCAGUGAAGACAAUUUUCAGGAACUAAGUCGCAGGAUACAGGAUGGAGAUUCCAGUUUGUCCUCAGAGAGUGUUCCCACAACAGGGAUGAACCCACUAUUCUCUAAAAGUUCUGUGUCAACAGAAGCUUUGGGGCAUAUUAAGGAAGAAAGUGAAAACAACAGCAUUUCAAAUCAAGGACAUUGGUUGGCUAAGACGUGAUCAGUCUUCAAACUAUCAGGAGACAUCUCCCUUUUGAAAAAUGAACAAGUGUAGCUGUAACCUGGAAGUGAAAUCUAGAGCCGCCAUACUGCAACCACACCAAAAUUCCAUCUUUCCAGGGUUAUGCCAAAGUCAUCCCUCUCAGUGAGUCCCAUCUGAGACACAUCAUUAAAUUCUAAUCUACGGCAUCAUCGAAGAGCAAAGCCUGUCUUCCGGUUUCUGCAUGUCAGGAAGAGGAGACUUUCUGCCGAACGUCGUCCUGGGAGGGAACUCAUGAGCAGCAAAGCCAUGGCAGUAGGUUAGCAGCGUCACAUGACAACUUGCUGUAGUCUCUCCUACAUUCACGGCUUUGACUUCUAAGACCACACAAGACACCUCUCAAGACAAAAGACGAGAAGUGUUACGCAUCCCAAGACUUGUGGAGAAACUGUAGCUAGCAAGCUGAUUCCUUGCCCUACAGGCGAAUUAAAAUACUGUAAUGAGACCCCCCAUGGGAUUUCCACAGAGGUAAACCUACAGGACUUCUGCAAAGACUGUUAGUAAUUCAGUCACUGCUUUCUUGCACUGUCCCCCCACCCCCCAUCCAAUGAGUCUGCAAUCUAAUUUCUUUUGCUGUAACAAACAGAACAAGGCAAGAGUCAAAUGAUCUCAAGGGAAACAGAGGCAAAGCAGGUAGGGCCAAGCCCCCCUGGUAUGUCAUCCAUAUUCACACGUGCCUCUUGGAGCUCCCUGCACAAUCCCCUUACCUGUUUAUAGCCUAUUCGUAUUUCAGUAAUCCCAGGAACUAGAAGAAAGAGUGGGUGAGGGGGAGAAAGGAUGUCAUUAUUCAUCCAACACACAGUAUGUAGCAAACCCCUGUAGGGGAAGCAAAACUUUUCCUCCAUCCUCUUACAGACUCCAGUCUCUUACAGGCCUGAGUAUUAAGUUGAUACAGGGCAGAGUAAAAGGAGAAAAAGCAUACAACUUAAUAUUUUUACAUGGACAUAGGAGCCUUCACAAGAAAGCGAGGACCCCAAAAGCAAUUAGCCUAAGUGUGUAUGUACUAGGUGAACAAAAAGUAGUUGUGAAAAAGUAACUAAAAUGUAUGGAGGGGCUAGAGGAAGAUAAGGGUUAUUUUAACAAGGUCUGUUUUGAACAGAUUUCUCUCAGCCUCUCCUUCCCAUCUCUGGUGAUAAGAAUGUUUCUUUCCUCCUGGUAUAGGGAGUACAUUCAUGUUUUUAGGAAGAGAAGGAGAGGUUGGAAUAUCCUUUUCACAUAUGUUGUUUUUCAAGUGCCCUUACCUCAAAAUAAUCCUUACGCCAAGGUGGUAUAUUUUAGGGUAGCGCACCCUGGUACUCUUCACCUCCACCAGCAUAUAAGGUGCUGUGGACUGAACUGUGUCCCCUCCCCACCCCCCUCCUUGAAUCCAACUGUAUUUGGAGAUAGCGUCAUUUAAUUAAGGCUAAAUGACAUCAUGUGGGCGAACCCUAGUCCAUAUGAUUGGUGUCCUCAUAAAAAGGGAGAGAUACCAGGCAAGCAUACACAGAGCGACAACAAUGUGAGGACACGGCAAGAAGGCAGUCACCCACAAGCCCAGGAGAGAUGCCACAGAAGGACCCAACCUUGCCAGCCCCCUGAUCUUGGACUUCCAGCCUCCAGCACUGUGAGAGAAGACAUUUCUGUUGUUUAAGCAACUCAGUCUGUGGUAUUUUGUUAUGGCAGCCCCAGCAGAUUAAUAUACAAGGCAAAAGAAUAUCACAUAAAACAUUUCCCUGAAGAACGAUCCAGGCUUUCCCCUUGAUAAAUCCCUUUAGUUCAGCAAUCUUACAAAGCCCAACAAGAUAUAUCUAGAGAAGUUGAGUAACUGCUGAAUGAUUAAACUUAGAGCCUGACUAUUUACAAUCAAUGCUGUCUUCCAAAAGGUUACAUCUUAAAGGUUGGUGUCCGAUACAUGUGUGUUCUCCCUCCUGGUUCUCUGAUAAUACUCUCCUGAGUCAUUCUGCAGCUCCCUAAUUGGUUUCUGCUUUCCAAGUGCCAGUUUUCUGAUGAAAGCUGUUUACAGCCUCACCACUUUGGGCAGGGGAGGGGGAGGGAGGGAAAUGGACAGUUGACACAAGCUGUUUCUAAGAAACUCAUCUCUUGUUUUCCCUUGAUACAGCCUGUGAUGGAAGCAGAGUCCAAAGGGACAAACUUAGGAAACAAAAUAGAAAAUUCCAAGCUGGGUGUGAUUCCUUGCAGGGUGGUAUUCAUGCAUCAUUCAGCAGCUAUGGUUUGAGUUCCUACUCUGCACCGUGUUCUGUGCCAAGCACUGAGGGCUGUUCCAAGAAUGAAUUAACAUUCUCGUUAAGUGUGAUGUCUUAAUUAAUGAACCCUGAGACUAAUGCUGCUUUCAAGUGAAGUUGUGUACAUUUCUUAACAAUCUUACCUUCUGAAGGUACCCUAGAGAACACUGGAGAUAGGAAUGAAGAAAGGGGAAGGGGGCUCUAAUCUCCAGAGACCUAUGCAGCAGGUGCAGGGUGAAGAGGCAGAGGCGGUGGCAGAUGGGGGCUAAGGAAGAGGCAGCCUCUGUGAAUGGAAGGGGCCCUGACAUUCCCUCAGCUAUAACCUCAAGGCCGGCCCCAGCUCCCUACAAACACUGAUGCCUCUGCCAUGGGAGAAUGCCUUGCUGUUCACGGGCUCCACUAGCCCUCUAAGGGAAGAGAGGUAUCCAGAAGGAAGGCCUGAGCUCUCCAUUUCUGGGGCAGGAGAGGGAAACACUGGUGUAAAAAUUGCAAGCCCCACCUGAGCAACCACGGUGAAGGCCUUAGCAGUCGCCCUACACUAACCUCAGACUUUCCUUGUAGCAACCCGCCCCACCCCCACCUAUGGGGACAGAAAGCAGAUCCCCCAAACAAUACCCAGGGUCAACCAAACCAAAAACUGGUUCUUUGGGAAAUUUUCCAGAUCUACCCGCAUGGAAAAUAAUCAGCUCACAGAAAAUUAAAGGUUUUUACUGCUUCAGGAAACAGAAAUAGAUGGAAAAAUUGAGAGGAAAAAAUGCUAAUAGUAAGUGAUGAAGAGUGACCAUGGAAAUAAACUUAUCAGAGGUCUGACUCAGAGCCUUUGUCACUGUUGGGUUCUGCUAGUGUGCAUGCCGGUUUGAAAGCUUGAUACAAGUUCAAUGGAUUUGACCUGGAGUGGGAAGAAAGACAUGAAUCAAAUUCCCCAAAGAUGACAGCUUCCAGGGAUCCUUGUGGGGUGGAGGGCUGUCCUGUUACUUUCUAGUUUGAACCUUUGAACCCUGAAUCUCUUGGCAGUCCCUUUCAUCUGUGGUCCCAGUGAACCAAGCUUCCCGAUAUUCAUGCCCUCUUAAAUCCUCUCCCCUUGAAGCUGGGCUGGUCCUGUGACUGCCUGGACUGAUAAAAUAUGAUGGAAAUGACAUUCUGGGACUUCUGAGCCCAGGCACGAAGAAAGUCUGGAAGCUUCUGCUUUUGCAUUUCAGGGAAGCUGGCCACACUGUAAGGAGUCUGACUACUUUGAGACCUUCGUGAUGAGAGGAAGCCCAGGCUAACCACGUGAAGAAGCCACAUCAAAAGAGGAUGCCUGGCCAGCCCCACCUGAUGUGUCAGGCACAUAAGCAGAGAGGCCAUCUUGGAUGGUCCAGCCAGUAGAUGUGGAGCAGUGAUGGGCUGCUUCUGCCAAGCCCUGCCCAAAUUGCAGAACUGUGAGUAAAUAAAUAAUUGUUGUUGUUUAAACCACUAA